GACGAACGCUGGCGGCAUGCCUAACACAUGCAAGUCGAACGGGGAUAGCAAUAUCCUAGUGGCGAACGGGUGAGUAACGCGUGAGCAACCUGCCUCAUACAACGGGAUACCCGAGGGAAACUUCGGUUAAUACGGUAUAAGACCACACUACCGCAUGGUAGAGGGGUAAAAGGAAGCAAUUCUGGUAUGAGAUGGGCUCGCGUCGCAUUAGCUAGUUGGUGGGGUAACGGCUCACCAAGGCGACGAUGCGUAGCCGACCUGAGAGGGUGAUCGGCCACAUUGGGACUGAGAUACGGCCCAG
rnacentral:rRNA from 1 species